ACGCAAUCUUUUACAAUGAGUGCUUGCACUCAGCGUUUUAAGUGCGAGUGGCGAACGGGUGAGUAACACGUGGGCAAUCUGCCCAAAAGUGGGGGAUAACACUUGGAAACAGGUGCUAAUACCGCAUCAACCGGCUGACCGCAUGGUCGGCCGGGCAAAGACGGCGUCCGCUGUCGCUUUUGGAUGAGCCCGCGGCGUAUUAACUAGUUGGUAAGGUAACGGCUUACCAAGGUGAUGAUACGUAGCCGAACUGAGAGGUUGAUCGGCCACAUUGGGACUGAGACACGGCCCAAACUCCUACGGGAGGCAGCA
rnacentral:rRNA from 2 species